AUUAAGAACAGACAGUCUCAGCUCUGUGACUUUGUAGAUGAGGUUAGGAAGAGAGCUCGAUCACAGCAAGGAUUCAGGGCCUCAGGUUAAAACGAAGGAUUCGUGUGUGAAAAGGAAUCAGAUAAGACAUAAAAUUGUAUUCCCGCGCCUGCCGCCAUUGCCUCUGCAGAGGGAGAGACUGGCUUUUGGAUUCUGUCCCCGGCUGCUCCGUCUCGGCCUCGUCAGGGAGGCCGUCGCCUCCCUUCUGCAUGGUGUGUUCCUCCUCAUCCUUCAAGUCUUGGCUUAACUCUCAUCUUCUCAGAGGCUUUCUUUGCCUGCUCCAAUCUAAAGGAAGCUGCCCCAUUACUAUCUCUUACAGUACAGUAGGUUCAGUGAUGGCCCCCAAAAGGUACGUCCUAGAACCUGUAAAUAGGACUUUAUUUUGGACAAGGGUCUUUUCAGAUAUGAUUAAGUUAAGGAUCUUGAGAUGAGACUAUCCUGGAUUAUGUGAGUAGGCCCUAAAUCCAAUGACAAAUGUCCUUACAAGAGACAAAUAGAAGAGAAACACAAUGGGAGAAGAGGAGAAGGCCAUGGGAAGAUGGAGGCAGAGCUUGGAGGGAGGCAGCCGCAAGCCAGGGACACCCGGGGCCACCAGAAGCUGGAAGAGACGAGGGAUGGUUCUCCCCAGAGCCUCUGGAGGGAGCCUGGCUCUGCCCGCACCUUGGUUUUGGACUUCCAGCCUCCAGAACUGUGAG
rnacentral:lncRNA from 1 species